GUGGUAUCCUGUCUGAAUAUGGGGGGACCAUCCUCCAAGGCUAAAUACUCCUGACUGACCGAUAGUGAACCAGUACCGUGAGGGAAAGGCGAAAAGAACCCCGGCGAGGGGAGUGAAAAAGAACCUGAAACCGUGUACGUACAAGCAGUGGGAGCACAGGUUUACCUGUGUGACUGCGUACCUUUUGUAUAAUGGGUCAGCGACUUAUAUUCUGUAGCAAGGUUAACCGAAUAGGGGAGCCGGAGGGAAACCGAGUCUUAAUUGGGCGUUAAGUUGCAGGGUAUAGACCCGAAACCCGGUGAUCUAGCCAUGGGCAGGUUGAAGGUUGGGUAACACUAACUGGAGGACCGAACCGACUAAUGUUGAAAAAUUAGCGGAUGACCUGUGGCUGGGGGUGAAAGGCCAAUCAAACCGGGAGAUAGCUGGUUCUCCCCGAAAGCUAUUUAGGUAGCGCCUCGUGAAUUCAUCUCCGGGGGUAGAGCACUGUUUCGGCUAGGGGGCCAUCCCGGCUUACCAACCCGAUGCAAACUGCGAAUACCGGAGAAUGUUAUCACGGGAGACACACGGCGGGUGCUAACGUCCGUCGUGAAGAGGGAAACAACCCAGACCGCCAGCUAAGGUCCCAAAGUCAUGGUUAAGUGGGAAACGAUGUGGGAAGGCCCAGACAGCCAGGAUGUUGGCUUAGAAGCAGCCAUCAUUUAAAGAAAGCGUAAUAGCUCACUGGUCGAGUCGGCCUGCGCGGAAGAUGUAACGGGGCUAAACCAUGCACCGAAGCUGCGGCAGCGACACUGUGUGUUGUUGGGUAGGGGAGCGUUCUGUAAGCCUGUGAAGGUGUGUCGUGAGGCAUGCUGGAGGUAUCAGAAGUGCGAAUGCUGACAUAAGUAACGAUAAAGCGGGUGAAAAGCCCGCUCGCCGGAAGACCAAGGGUUCCUGUCCAACGUUAAUCGGGGCAGGGUGAGUCGACCCCUAAGGCGAGGCCGAAAGGCGUAGUCGAUGGGAAACGGGUUAAUAUUCCCGUACUUGGUGUUACUGCGAAGGGGGGACGGAGAAGGCUAUGUUGGCCGGGCGACGGUUGUCCCGGUUUAAGCGUGUAGGUGUGUGUUCCAGGUAAAUCCGGUUCACUUUAACACUGAGGCGUGACGACGAGGCACUACGGUGCUGAAGCAACAAAUGCCCUGCUUCCAGGAAAAGCCUCUAAGCAUCAGGUAACAUCAAAUCGUACCCCAAACCGACACAGGUGGUCAGGUAGAGAAUACCAAGGCGCUUGAGAGAACUCGGGUGAAGGAACUAGGCAAAAUGGUGCCGUAACUUCGGGAGAAGGCACGCUGACACGUAGGUGAAGUGAUUUACUCAUGGAGCUGAAGUCAGUCGAAGAUACCAGCUGGCUGCAACUGUUUAUUAAAAACACAGCACUGUGCAAACACGAAAGUGGACGUAUACGGUGUGACGCCUGCCCGGUGCCGGAAGGUUAAUUGAUGGGGUCAGCGCAAGCGAAGCUCCUGAUCGAAGCCCCGGUAAACGGCGGCCGUAACUAUAACGGUCCUAAGGUAGCGAAAUUCCUUGUCGGGUAAGUUCCGACCUGCACGAAUGGCGUAAUGAUGGCCAGGCUGUCUCCACCCGAGACUCAGUGAAAUUGAACUCGCUGUGAAGAUGCAGUGUACCCGCGGCAAGACGGAAAGACCCCGUGAACCUUUACUAUAGCUUGACACUGAACAUUGAGCCUUGAUGUGUAGGAUAGGUGGGAGGCUUUGAAGUGUGGACGCCAGUCUGCAUGGAGCCGACCUUGAAAUACCACCCUUUAAUGUUUGAUGUUCUAACGUGGACCCGUUACCCGGGUUGCGGACAGUGUCUGGUGGGUAGUUUGACUGGGGCGGUCUCCUCCUAAAGAGUAACGGAGGAGCACGAAGGUUGGCUAAUCCUGGUCGGACAUCAGGAGGUUAGUGCAAUGGCAUAAGCCAGCUUGACUGCGAGCGUGACGGCGCGAGCAGGUGCGAAAGCAGGUCAUAGUGAUCCGGUGGUUCUGAAUGGAAGGGCCAUCGCUCAACGGAUAAAAGGUACUCCGGGGAUAACAGGCUGAUACCGCCCAAGAGUUCAUAUCGACGGCGGUGUUUGGCACCUCGAUGUCGGCUCAUCACAUCCUGGGGCUGAAGUAGGUCCCAAGGGUAUGGCUGUUCGCCAUUUAAAGUGGUACGCGAGCUGGGUUUAGAACGUCGUGAGACAGUUCGGUCCCUAUCUGCCGUGGGCGCUGGAGAACUGAGGGGGGCUGCUCCUAGUACGAGAGGACCGGAGUGGACGCAUCACUGGUGUUCGGGUUGUCAUGCCAAUGGCACUGCCCGGUAGCUAAAUGCGGAAGAGAUAAGUGCUGAAAGCAUCUAAGCACGAAACUUGCCCCGAG
rnacentral:rRNA from 1 species